CAGUCGCCGCGGUAAUACCGAGGGUGCGAGCGUUAAUCGGAUUUACUGGGCGUAAAGCGUGCGUAGGCGGCUUUUUAAGUCGGAUGUGAAAUCCCUGAGCUUAACUUAGGAAUUGCAUUCGAUACUGGGAAGCUAGAGUAUGGGAGAGGAUGGUAGAAUUCCAGGUGUAGCGGUGAAAUGCGUAGAGAUCUGGAGGAAUACCGAUGGCGAAGGCAGCCAUCUGGCCUAAUACUGACGCUGAGGUACGAAAGCAUGGGGAGCAAACAGGAUUAGAUACCCCGGUAGUCCCUGUCUCUUAUAA
rnacentral:rRNA from 1 species